CCAGACAACCGACCCCGUCGAGACGCUCCAGGUCGAGCCACCCUCGGAAUCUCACGCAGACUCCAUUCAUGAUGAAAUGUGACUUUAUGUGGACCUGAAGAGAGAAUGAUGCUGAGCAGAGAAGUCAACUAUAAUGGGCCGAGAUAAAUAGGAGAAGGACGGAAAUGCAUGGUGACAACUUCAUUGUGCUGAGGCAACAGCAGCCAAGGUCAGAAAAGGGACAAUAAUUACAUCACUUUGGGCUCCCAUGCAUUUUUUUCGGUCUGACACUCCUGGAAAUCCAUUUGGUGUCCAUCCAGCUCAGUUUCUUGAGGCCCGGCAACUUGUGUGACAACGUGAAUACCGGAGGAAAUACCGACGAUGAUUUUCUUGGAACUGCGCCGUGCUCUACUCACAAUGAAUCAGCGCACGGUGAAUGGCAAGCGCUUAUGGCAUCGCCUUUGAGCAACUAUGAAGGAUUUUACGCUUAAUGUGCACAACAAAAGAGCUGAGAAGAUGAAGAGGAGAGAGAGAGAAUCUGAGAAGAAGAUAACAGAGAGCUAUUCCGUCUUUUUUGUUCACCUCUAAAACACCUAUGGAGAAAGAACAUCGAUCUGCAUAGGUGAUCAUCUCAAUCCUCAGCCACACAAUGACGCAGAGUUUGUGUAAAGGAUACAUUUUGGUCGGAAAUUUUCCAGAGAUUCUCAGGCAGAAAGUGCAGCAUUUGGAUAGCUAGAAAAAUACGUAUUUCUUGUGCAAUAAAAGUCAUCGUAAAUCCUUAGAGCAAAACACUCUUUUUCUCUCGCCAAGGUUGAAUAAAAUUUUAUGAAAAUAUUAAUAUUUGUCUGCCAGGCAGGGCUUGAGAAUUACGUAGAAUUAAUUU